CCUACGGGUGACAGCAGUGGGGAAUAUUGCACAAUGGGCGAAAGCCUGAUGCAGCAACGCCGCGUGAAGGAAGACGGUUUUCCGAUUGUAAACUUCUGUUCUUAGUGAAGAAUAAUGACGGUCACUACGAAGCAAGCCACGACUAACUACGCGCCAGAAGCCGCGGUAAUACGGAGGUGGCAAGCGUUGUCCGGAAUUACUGGGUGUAAAGGGAGCGUAGGCGGGAAGCGAAGUCAGCUGUGAAAACUACGGGCUUAACCUGUAGACUGCAGUUGAAACUGGCUUUCUUGAGUGAAGUAGAGGUAGGCGGAAUGCGGGGUGUAGCGGUGAAAUGCGUAGAUAUUCGGAGGAACACCGGUGGCGAAGGCGGCCAACUGGGCUUUAACUGACGCUGAGGCUCGAAAGUGUGGGGAGCGAACAGGAUUAGAUACCCGAGUAGUC
rnacentral:rRNA from 1 species